UAAGGAAUAUUGGUCAAUGGACGAAAGUCUGAACCAGCCAUGCCGCGUGAAGGAUGACGGCCCUCUGGGUUGUAAACUUCUUUUAUCUGGGACGAAAAAAGCUCAUUCUUGAGCACUUGACGGUACCAGAAGAAUAAGCACCGGCUAACUCCGUGCCAGCAGCCGCGGUAAUACGGAGGGUGCAAGCGUUAUCCGGAUUUACUGGGUUUAAAGGGUGCGUAGGUGGAUUUGUAAGUCAGUGGUGAAAUCUCCGAGCUUAACUCGGAAACUGCCAUUGAUACUAUAAGUCUUGAAUUAUCUGGAGGUAAGCGGAAUAUGUCAUGUAGCGGUGAAAUGCUUAGAUAUGACAUAGAACACCAAUUGCGAAGGCAGCUUACUACGGAUUGAUUGACACUGAGGCACGAAAGCGUGGGGAUCAAACA
rnacentral:rRNA from 1 species